rnacentral:sRNA from 1 species
UGAAAGGCGAACUGGCGAAGCAAAUCCUUUUUGGGUUUUCAGACCCAAAAAGAUUGAAACGAAAAGCCCGACCCUUG